AAUGAACGCUGGCGGCAGGCCUAAAACAUGCAAGUCGAACGCCUGUAGCAAUACAGGAGUGGCGCACGGGUGAGUAACAUGUGGGAAUAUGCCUUUUGGUACGGAACAACGUUUGGAAACGAACGCUAAUACCGUAUGGUCCCUUCGGGGUAAAGAUUUAUCGCCAAAAGAUUAGCCCGCAUUGGAUUAGCUAGUUGGUAGGGUAAUGGCCUACCAAGGCGACGAUCCAUAGCUGGUCUGAGAGGACGAUCAGCCACACUGGGACUGAGACACGGCCCAGACUCCUACGGGAGGCAGCAGUUAGGAAUAUUGGACAAUGGGCGCAAGCCUGAUCCAGCCAUGCCGCGUGAGUGAUGAAGGCCUUCGGGUUGUAAAACUCUUUAGCCGAUGAAUAUAAUGACUGUAGUCGGAAAAUAAGCCCCGGCUAACUUCGUGCCAGCCGCCGCCGUAACAC
rnacentral:rRNA from 1 species